GGAGAAACGAGGGCAGCUCACGAGCUCUGACUUUGCUCAGGAGCGAAAUGGCCUUGUUUUUCACCUUCCCACCUGGCCCACUUAGGAGGAAAAGCUGCGGAAAAUUCGCUGCUCAGUUUACAGUCCCAAGAACAUGAAAACGCUCCUCUGCCAGCAUCAAAAAAAAGAAGAUGGAUGUUGUUUCUGGGAGAAGGAAGGAAUGUCGUACGGUGGCUCGGGCAGGAGACGUACAGGGACAUGGCUGUGGGCAGCUUCAGGUUCUUGCUUUCAUGUGACCGGAGAGAAGAGGACUCUUCUUCCUGUUUCAAUAAUAACAAUAAUAUCCCAGGAAGGACUGGACUUGACUUGGCUAAAUGCCCAUCUGGGAGCAAAUCACUGUGGCCAAGAAGAUGGCAUGGGAGAUUGGAUCCCACUGGAGUUGCAUGUCCACUCCUCACCAACUAAGGCGCUGGAGGAGGGAUGUAGUAAGAGAAAGGCAGCUGGUCUCUGGGCCACCCAGAAGAGGACAUGUGGGGGAGGGAAAGUUUUCCUGAGAAAAGGCAGGCUAAGGCAACCCUGGGAAAUGCUGUGUAGGCAGCAACUCUCCUUUGUGUUUCCUGUCCUUCCUUUUCUGAAACUCUUAGUUGUUGCUACUUUGGCUUGUUCCUUGCUAUCCCUAUGUGAUGUUCAUUCUCACAUUUGGCCUCCUGGGCUUCCCACCCAUCUGCUCCUCCAUUUUGGACUUAUCCCCAGCUUGGGAUCAAGUCCAAGAGGCCUGUGUUGACCAUUGCAGGUCUGAGCCAUCUCUUCUCUGAGCUCCCACCUCCUUGACUCUGCAGCUGCCCUUGGCCUUGGAGACUUUAGCUCUUCAUGUAGGUCUUGCCUUCUCCCAAGACUGGAAGCUCCUUGAAAACAAGAAUCCAAAUCUUCUUAAUAUUCUCAGUGGUGCCCAAUACUAUGUGAGUUCUCAAUAAAUGCCAGGAAAUGAA
rnacentral:lncRNA from 1 species